rnacentral:rRNA from 1 species
UUUCGAAAGAAAGAUUAAUACCUGAUGGUAUGAUGAGAUUGCAUGAUAGCAUCAUUAAAGAUUUAUCGGUGUACGAUGGGGAUGCGUUCCAUUAGGUAGUAGGCGGGGUAACGGCCCACCUAGCCAACGAUGGAUAGGGGUUCUGAGAGGAAGGUCCCCCACAUUGGAACUGAGACACGGUCCAAACUCCUACGGGAGGCAGCAGUGAGGAAUAUUGGUCAAUGGACGAGAGUCUGAACCAGCCAAGUAGCGUGAAGGAUGAAGGUCCUACGGAUUGUAAACUUCUUUUAUAAGGGAAUAAACCCUCCCACGUGUGGGAGCUUGUAUGUACCUUAUGAAUAAGCAUCGGCUAACUCCGUGCCAGCAGCCGCGGUAAUACGGAGGAUGCGAGCGUUAUCCGGAUUUAUUGGGUUUAAAGGGAGCGCAGACGGGUCGUUAAGUCAGCUGUGAAAGUUUGGGGCUCAACCUUAAAAUUGCAGUUGAUACUGGCGUCCUUGAGUGCGGUUGAGGUGUGCGGAAUUCGUGGUGUAGCGGUGAAAUGCUUAGAUAUCACGAAGAACUCCGAUUGCGAAGGCAGCACACUAAUCCGUAACUGACGUUCAUGCUCGAAAGUGUGGGUAUCAA